AUUUUUUUUUAAGUUCUGAGUAGUUACCAUACAGUGCAAUGUUGGUUUCUAGAGUAGAAUUCAGUGGUUCAUCACUUACAUACAGCACCCAGUGCUCAUCACAAGUGCCCUC